rnacentral:misc_RNA from 1 species
UUCGGUAUCCUGUGUUGCUUACCUAUCGAAAGGAAUCCGUUGGUUUCGUCGGUCCCUUUCCGCCCCACGCCCUCGCGGGUUGUGGGGUGGACGUCAGGCAAGCCUCGUGUUCCUGGCACGCCUCGCCCAGCUGCGUGGCUGCCUCGGCCCACGGGGCGCAUUGCCCGUGCUCUCGGAUGCGGAACGUCAUGCGCGGGCGUGGGGUCUUUUGGCUCCGUCGGCCCGAGCAACGCAUUUGUCCAUCGACACGAACGACGGUCGCGCCCGUCUUGAGCCCGUCGGGUCUCAUGCGGGCGUCGGCGUCGCGAAGGAAUGCUACCUGGUUGAUCCUGCCAGUAGUCAUAUGCUUGUCUC